AUGAGGUGCUACAAGGCACGAAGGAACAAGAAGGGUAAAGGUGUUGCGCCUGUCGUUCCGGAACGAAAGAGAGGUAUCAUUCUCAAGGCGGAAUGCCCUGUCCGAUGUAAGCUGAACGUAGAUGGAGCAUGGUGGGUGGUCACUGAAUAUUUUGACGAGCACAACCACGAACUCAUAAAGAAGUUCAACAUGGUAAAAUUUCUGACCGCACACAGAGGAUUCACCCCCCUCGAGAAGAAAUUCAUAAAGCUGAUACAUGAUUGUAACGUCGGUCCAUCAAGAAUGGUCCAGAUACUAUCACUCAUCCACAGAAAAAUGGGACUCAUGCCCUACAUACCAGCUGACGUCACAAACCUAAAGGUAAAGUACCAUAGAGAGAGCAAGUUGGCUGACAUAGAGGCCACGAUAACCUACUUCGAUGAGAAAGUGAAGGAAGAUCUAGAUUUCUUCUACAUGAUAAGAUUGGAUGAUGAGGAUCGUGUCAGGAACAUGUAUUGGGUGGAUGGUGCUGCAAGAAGAGCCUACAAACAUUUCCGAGAUUGCAAUUCAUUCGACGCGACAUAUCUCACUAAUAUGUACAAGAUGCAAUGCGCUCCAUUCAUAGGAAUAAAUAACCACAACACAGAUGGGUACACUUGGCUAUUCAAGACCUUCUUGGAGUGCAUGGAUGGACUUGCUCUAAUGAACAUAAUAACAGACCAGGAUUUUAGCAUGCGUGCAGGCAUAAAGGAGGUCUUUCCUUUGGCAGUGCACAGGCGCUGCAGGUGGCACAUUAUAAAGAAGGCUGAGGAGACGCUACAACCGUUCUUUGUUACUACAUAGCGCAGCGAGGUGUUCAAUGUUGUUUUGUAGCGACGGGACGAUAUUGUGUGCUGUCACAUACUAAAAGUAAUGGACAUGAACGCGGUGACACGAAUGCCCCGCCAUUUCAUAAGGCGGCGAUGGACUUGGGACGCUGACGGCGCAUUGGCGCCGCAAACAUCAAACACAGUUUUGGAUGUGCAUGACGAGAGACCGGAGUCAACCAUGCAAGCCGUGAGGCACGUUGUCUUGACAAAGAACUAUGCUGAACUAAUUGAUGAAGCGUGCAAGAGUGAUGAGACAGCGAGGGUUGCAGAAAAACACAGGAAGGCCCUGAAAAGAAAGUUUGAUGAGAUCAAGAAGAGGAAAGCUGAGGAAGCCUUACACAGGUUCCCCCGCACAUCAAGUGUGCCUUCGUCCAUGGGGCCAUCAUCUGAAAACUCGGAGGUAGGAUCUGGAACAGCAAGCACACAAACCCAGGUCAGGAACCCACCCCGUUCCAUCACAAAGGGGCGUCUAAAAGAGAUAAGAUACAAAUCGAGAUUGGAGAUUCAAGCAAAACACAAGAAAAUAAAGAAAGGGACGGGCAAUCCGUAA
rnacentral:rRNA from 1 species